rnacentral:rRNA from 1 species
UACGUAGGGUGCAAGCGUUAAUCGGAAUUACUGGGCGUAAAGCGUGCGCAGGCGGUUUUGUAAGUCUGACGUGAAAUCCCCGGGCUUAACCUGGGAAUUGCGAUGGAGACUGCAAGGCUAGAAUCUGGCAGAGGGGGGGUAGAAUUCCACGUGUAGCAGUGAAAUGCGUAGAGAUGUGGAGGAACACCGAUGGCGAAGGCAGCCCCCUGG